rnacentral:rRNA from 1 species
AUACGGAGGGUGCAAGCGUUAUCCGGAAUCACUGGGUUUAAAGGUGCGUAGGCGGCGCAAUAAGUCAGAGGUGAAAGCCCCCAGCUUAACUGGGGAAUUGCCUUUGAUACUGUUGCACUUGAAUCAGGUUGAGGUUAGCGGAAUGUGUCAUGUAGCGGUGAAAUGCAUAGAUAUGACAUAGAACACCAAUUGCGAAGGCAGCUGACUAGACCUGUAUUGACGCUGAGGCACGAAAGCGUGGGGAGCGAACAGGAUUAGAAACCCUAGUAGUCC